GAUUUGUGGCAUCGGGCUGAGAUGCCUCUUGUGUUAACUGCAGAUUGAAAGGAAACUAAUUAGAAACUUCAUUCGAUAAAACAGAAACUGCAAUGCAGUUUCCAUUUCUGUAAAGCAGAUAACACACUGCAUUGCAGGAAACGGAAACUGCAUUGCAGUUUCUGUUUCUGCAAUGCAGAAAAUAGAAAAAAGCAGCAGCUUGAACUCCAGUAAUUGCAUACCUCCUCGGAAGAGAUAAGCUUGAAUUGUGGUAGUUCUUCAUCAUCCUUUUUUGCCUCCUUUUUUGUUUUCUUAUUUUUUUCGUACACAUAGCAAGAUGCUUGAAGCCUCUUUCUUUCUCUGCUCAAAUAAUUUCCAAUGCAAAGUAGAUGAAGAGUUGGCAAAAAGGAAUGUCAUGCACAGCAGAAUCAAUAUUAGGCUGACCACCUCCUUGUCGUAAUCAACUUCUUCUUCUUCUUCUUCUUCUUCAGCUUCUUUCUUUUCUUUUCCUUUGUUCGUUUUUUUCUUUUGCUCUGUCUUUGCCUUUUCUUUCUUCGGUUGGUUUGCCAAGGCAAUUGUCUUUUGUAAUUCUGCUUCUACCUGGUUUUUUGAAGGUUUUCCCUUUUCUCCAAAGUGCCUUGUUCUGAAG
rnacentral:lncRNA from 1 species